GAUGAACGCUGGCGGCGUGCCUAAUACAUGCAAGUCGAGCGAACAGAUGAGGAGCUUGCUCCUCUGACGUUAGCGGCGGACGGGUGAGUAACACGUGGAUAACCUACCUAUAAGACUGGGAUAACUUCGGGAAACCGGAGCUAAUACCGGAUAAUAUAUUGAACCGCAUGGUUCAAUAGUGAAAGACGGUUUUGCUGUCACUGAUAGAUGGAUCCCCGCCGCAUUAGCUAGUUGUUAAGGUAACGGCUUACCAAGGCAACGAUGCGUAGCCGACCUGAGAGGGUGAUCGGCCACACUGGAAUUGAGACACGGUCCAGACUCAUACGGGAGGCAGAAGUAGGGAAUCUUCCGCAAUGGGCGAAAGCCUGACGGAGCAACGCCGCGUGAGUGAUGAAGGUCUUCGGAUCGUAAAACUCUGUUAUUAGGGAAGAACAAAUGUGUAAGUAACUAUGCACGUCUUGACGGUACCUAAUCAGAAAGCAACGGCUAACUACGUG
rnacentral:rRNA from 1 species